rnacentral:lncRNA from 1 species
AGCUGCUUCAUUUAUACUUCGCUCAUCAAAAUACAGUUUUGUAAGAGUUAAUUGGCGGCCGGGUAGCCUUUCAGAUCCUUUUUUAUGAGCCUGUUACCGUCCCUGCUGUGUGGGCCAAGUGUUACCAGAGCCUUAACUUCAAAACACUGGUGUUCCGUCUGAAACUCAGGAGCUCUGGCGUUUGAGCGGGCACCAAACUUGGCCGAACGUUUUCUGCUGAUUUUCGGCUGAGCAGAGCUGGCAGUUGGGAAAGACUAGACUCUGGGCGUGGUUAUUAACUGUUUUCUCCCCUUAUGUUUUUCAGGCCAGCGACGCUCUGAGCAGGAGUCUGGGCCCCACGGCUGUGACAGAGCAUGCUGUGGGCGUCCACGUUUGCGCCGUGCAUGUGGUGUGUGGCCCACCGGCAGCUGCUUCAGCAAAGCUGGUCGCCUGGAUGCCGCACGGCUCGAAGUCUGACCGUUCGCACGGCCCGUUCCGCUCGCUGGUCCCCGGGCCUGUCCUCUGCCCGCGUGCACUGUACCCAGCACGGCAGACACGUAGCUCAGCGCAGCGUUUGCGGCUCUUCCGUGAGGAUUGAGGCUCUGCUGGGGGCUGACAGCGGUGUGGACGGUGACCGGCAGAAGUUGCAGCUGUGACCGGGGCUUGCAAAGCCAAGACAUCCUCAUUGCUCAGGAAACUGACCUGUACGGCAACCCAGCGGAUGGCCUGACUCCCCAGGUACGUAGCCGAGGACAGCUGAACGUGGUCAGGCCACCCCUGGGGCUGCCAGAGAUGCCCUUGUCCCCGGCCCCGAAUCCCACCCCACCACACCACACCCGGCCAGCUCUCUCCACCUCCCCAUUCUGCCAUAACGGGGCUGCCAGCUGCUGCCCUGAGUGACCUUCCCGCCGACCCAGCCGUCGGGGGCUGGCCCGUGGCUUCGAACCGCAGCCCUGGGCGCGGGAGGGGGUGCAGACAGCAGGGCAUCAGCAGGCCAGGCCCUCCUUCUGUGAUGUCCUCACCGCAUCUCCCUUGAGCCGGCGAUGGAACAGUUACGGUUUUAAUCAGGAAAAUAUUUGGGUUCACGCCCACUUUCUGUGAGCUGUCUUAUGAAGCGAUAUUGGCUUAUUUCACCCUUGACUGUCCUGAGAAGAUUCCAGGUCACAGAUGGAGAGACCAAGGCUAGACAAGGCUGGGUAUUGUGCC